rnacentral:rRNA from 1 species
GUGGAGCUUGGCUUCCUCUGGGUGACGAGUGGCGGACGGGUGAGUAAUGUCUGGGAAACUGCCCGAUGGAGGGGGAUAACUACUGGAAUCGGUAGCUAAUACCGCAUAACGUCGCAAGACCAAAGAGGGGGACCUUCGGGCCUCUUGCCAUCGGAUGUGCCCAGAUGGGAUUAGCUAGUAGGUGGGGUAACGGCUCACCUAGGCGACGAUCCCUAGCUAGUCUGAGAGGAUGACCAGCCACACUGGAACUGAGACACGGUCCAGACUCCUACGGGAGGCAGCAGUGGGGAAUAUUGCACAAUGGGCGCAAGCCUGAUGCAGCCAUGCCGCGUGUAUGAAGAAGGCCUUCGGGUUGUAAAGUACUUUCAGCGAGGAGGAAGGGGAUGUGGUUAAUAACCGCAUUCAUUGACGUUACUCGCAGAAGAAGCACCGGCUAACUCCGUGCCAGCAGCCGCGGUAAUACGGAGGGUGCAAGCGUUAAUCGGAAUUACUGGGCGUAAAGCGCACGCAGGCGGUCUGUCAAGUCGGAUGUGAAAUCCCCGGGCUCAACCUGGGAACUGCAUCCGAAAC